rnacentral:rRNA from 1 species
UACGUAGGUGGCAAGCGUUAUCCGGAAUUAUUGGGCGUAAAGCGCGCGCAGGCGGUUUCUUAAGUCUGAUGUGAAAGCCCACGGCUCAACCGUGGAGGGUCAUUGGAAACUGGGGAACUUGAGUGCAGAAGAGAAAAGCGGAAUUCCACGUGUAGCGGUGAAAUGCGUAGAUAUUGGGAGGAACACCAGUGGCGAAGGCGGCUCACUGGACCGGAACUGACGCUGAGGCGCGAAAGCGUGGGGAGCAAACGGG